GACAGAGGGGGCAAGCGUUGCUCGGAAUUACUGGGCGUAAAGGGCGCGUAGGCGGGAUGGCAAGUCGGUCGUGAAAUCCCUCGGCUCAACCGAGGAACGUCGAUCGAUACUGCUGUUCUUGAGGAUUGCAGAGGAGACUGGAAUUCCCGGUGUAGCGGUGAAAUGUGUAGAGAUCGGGAGGAACACCGGUGGCGAAGGCGGGUCUCUGGUCCGGACCUGACGCUGAGGCGCGAAAGCGUGGGGAGCAAACAGG
rnacentral:rRNA from 1 species